CGCCUUGCCAGCCCGCUCAGAACUUAAAUGAAUUGACGGGGGCCCGCACAAGCGGUGGAGCAUGUGGUUUAAUUCGAUGAUACGCGAGGAACCUUACCUGGGCUCAAAUGUAUGUUGACGUAUUCUGAAAGGGAUACUUCUUCGGACAAUAUACAAGGUGCUGCAUGGUUGUCGUCAGCUCGUGCCGUGAGGUGUCGGGUUAAGUCCCAUAACGAGCGCAACCCCUAUCAUUAGUUGCCAUCAGGUCAAGCUGGGGACUCUAAUGAAACUGCCUACGCAAGUAGUGAGGAAGGUGGGGAUGACGUCAAAUCAGCACGGCCCUUACGUCCAGGGCUACACACGUGCUACAAUGGCCGGUACAACGGGCAGCGAAGGAGCGAUCCGGAGCGAAUCCUAAAAAGCCGGUCCCAGUUCGGAUUGCAGGCUGAAACUCGCCUACAUGAAGUUGGAGUUGCUAGUAAUCGCGAAUCAGAAUGUCGCGGUGAAUGCGUUCCCGGGUCUU
rnacentral:rRNA from 1 species